rnacentral:rRNA from 1 species
AGGACGAACGCUGGCGGCGUGCCUAACACAUGCAAGUCGCACGAGAAAGGGACUUCGGUCCUGAGUACAGUGGCGCACGGGUGAGUAACACGUGAAUCAUCUACCUCCGAGUGGGGAAUAACCUAGAGAAAUCUGGGCUAAUACCGCAUAACACUUACGAGUCAAAGCAGCAAUGCGCUUGGAGAGGAGUUCGCGGCAGAUUAGUUAGUUGGCGGGGUAAUGGCCCACCAAGACGAUGAUCUGUA